rnacentral:rRNA from 1 species
AUGCGUGCAGGCAUAGAGGAGGUAUUUCCGUUGGCAGUGCACAGGCACUGCAGGUGGCACAUUAUAAAGAAGGCUGAAGAGACGCUAGGACCGUUCUUUGCUGACCGUCCAGAGCUCCACAAGGCGUUUGAGCUGUGCAUGGACCACAGCUUGACGGUGGAGGAGUUUGAAAGGAGCUGGAUGGCCAUGAUUGAAACAUAUCAAGUCCAAGACAACGAGACGCUUGCUAACCAGUGGGAGAAGCGAAUGUACUGGGUGCCAGCCUACUUCAUGCAGUGCUUCUUUCCCUUUCUGCAGACUACGCAGCGCAGCGAGGGGUUCAAUGCUAUUUUGAAGCGGUACGUGAGUCCUGGCAACUCAUUGCUACAGUUUGCCAAGCAGUACACAACUUUGCAACAAAAAAUUCUGGGAUCUAAGCUACAGCAAGAAGCUACCACUGCGCUAAAGCAGCCGAAAUUGCUAACGUAUUUACCGAUGGAGAGGCAAAUGAGCAAGAUAUACACAAACAAGAUCUUUAACAAGUAA